UUCAUGCCGCUCUGGUGCUGCUGUCAUUAAAGCAAAACAGUAACUUGCCAAAUAUUAAGACAUUUUGUCUCUUGUGUAGUGGUCUCCUUCUUUUUGUUCCUCACUGUAACUUUUUGUCUGUAGUGGUUCAUAUUUGAUCUUUCAGUGUUUGAACUUGCUUUCAAUGGUCUUUCAUUCGAUGUCUUUUGUAGGCACUAUUUGAGCUAGUGAAAUGCAGCUUUAAUGCAGAAGAGGCACUAAGAAGAUAUCGCUUUAAUGUCAAGGUUUUCAAUGGUAAGGCCUCUGUAAUCGUCCUGCUUUUUCUCUCUUUGUGUUAUCAAACCUUAUUUAGAAGGCAGUCAAAAAAAUUAAAAUCCAUGCAACCAUUUCCAGGAUGUAUAGCAAGUUAAUUUUAUUGUAAAAAAAAAUAUAUUGUUCCAGAAGAGCUUUGUGGCUGGAGUGAGGAGGAGUGUCGUAACUUUGAGUAUGGUUACCGUGCCCAUGGCAAGAACUUCAACCUCAUACAGGCCAACAAGGUCCGCACGCGCUCAGUUGGCGAGUGUGUAGAGUACUACUACAAGUGGAAGAAAUCAGAGCGGCAUGAGUAUUUCACACAGCAGGCCACCAAGCUGGGUCGGAAAAAGUGCAAUCUGCCAUCUGGCAACAUAGAAGAUGCUGGGCCAGAUGGAAACACUGGUGAUUUGGAAGGUGCCAAUCAAGGUUUGCCAGUUAGGACUUCCAUUCAACUCCAACCUCCAUCGCCACCUGCAGUCAUGGAGCUGGAUAAACAAGGUAUGCUCUACUAGUUCUUAGAUAUUAUACACUUACUUAAUUAGUUAAUCGAAACCAUCCAUUGGUACCAAGUUUCUUAAUUUUCGUCCCUCAUUUAUGUUCAUUUAAUUCCAACAUAAUAUCAUUUUUUUCUUGAUUUUGGUCUGGAUGGUCAAUGGGUUAUGAUUUGUUUCAUUGUUGUUUUCCAUCUGCCAGCAUUUUUCCCAUUGUGUUUGUGUUAUGUUUUGUCAUCUUUAAUUUGGUCAUACGAUCCAGAGGACAGCCUGAAUUGCACAGCUCAGUUUCACGGUCGUCCACGACGGAAACGCACGCCACGCUUCCUAUUAAAGCCCUGAGCUUCCUGCUCACUGACAGCCUAAAACUGACAGAAACACAGGUUCUGAGCGAAACAGUGGAGAGAUGGAACUAUAUGCAGGAUCUUGCUCAAGCCCACAGGGGCAGCAGUCGUUCAGCCAAUUCUCGUUUCAGCCACCAGCGCUCCAGACGUCAGAUGUGUCCUCCCCGUCCCCCAAGCUUUACCUCUCCUCUCUAUCCUGUAGCCACUCCUUCCCUUCUCCUCAGCCAGACUCAGGGCUCCUUGGAGCAGGUUUUUCCCAGCUACGACUGGGGUCCUUUCCUGAAGAUCCUGCACCUGCUUGCUCAGAGAACAUUGCUCCCAGAAGGCUUCAACUUCAACACCGUCCUCGUCUGUCCCAUCCAGCCCAGAUUUUGGGAUAAUAGGUAGCCUCUUGUGCCCACCUUACUGCGUCAGCUCCGCACCCAUCAAACACAGCGACUCACCCAUUCCAGAUCUCUCAUUCACCUGGAAUUUGCAGUUGUCAUUUUCAGGCUACAUAAGAAAAGCCUGAGUUACAGGCAGAGUUUGACCAAAAAAAAUAACAUUCUGUCAUCAUUUACUCCCCUUCAUGUCAUUCCAAAACCUUCUGAGGAGCACAAAAGAAGAUAUUUCAAAGCUGAGUUUGUCAAUACAAUGAACGCCAACAGGGUCCAAAACUUGCAUAAUCCAAAAACAAAAAAAAUGCAUAAAUGUAGCAUAAAUUUAAUCCAAAAGUGCACUAACUUCAUCUAAUUUUCAGAUCUUUUUCUAAUAUUCCCCAUUGACUUAAAUAUUGAAGAAAGUAGGUCGUACAGGUUUGCAACAACGUAAGGGUGAGUAAAUGACGAUAGAAAUUAAAUAUCUGGUAAACAAUCCUUUUAAUCAAAGAAUGUGUUUAUAAUAUUUAAUCUGUGUUGCCUUUUAAACUACUAAACUAGUAACUGGGUGUUUUAGGGAGCUGGUUGUCUCGGUCAAACUGCUGUUUUUAAUUGACUACCUAAUUUUAAGCAGCUUUGGAAAUAUAAGAGGGUUUACAUCUCUUUGAGCUGUUUGGUCUCACUAAGACUCAUUUUCAGUAACCGUUCAGUAAUUUACUGCUUGUACAGUAAAUUGUUCCUUUCAUUGCAUAUAGAUCUUAUAAACUUUUGAAACUACUUUAUUAGAUCACUUAUUUCUUUUUGUUAAAGGAAUGAUUCACCCAAAAAUGAAAAUGUUCUCACCCUCAGGCCAUCCAAACUGCAGAUGAGUUUAUUUUUUACACUUUACAUCACUUGCUCACCAAUGGAUCCUCUGCAGUGAAUGGGUGCCGUCAGAAUGAGAGUCCAAACAGCUGAUAAAAACAUCACAAUAAUCCACACCAAAUCUAGUCCAUCAGUUCACAGUGACAUGAAAAUCUGUAUAUUUGUAAGAAACAAAUCAUUAAGGCAAUUCAUCUUCUGGACAAAAUUCCAGCCCAUUAAUCAUAAAAAUGCUUCUUCCAGUGAAUAAGUCCAGCUACUUUUGUCCUCUCACAACAAAAACCACAGGCAUAUUUAUUUUAACCUGUUAUUUUAAAUUGGACUGGAGUGGUGUGGAUUACUUGUGGAUUACUGUGAUGUUUUUAUCAGCUGUUUAGUCUCUCAUUCUGACGGCACCCAUUCACUGCAGAGGUGAGCAAGUGACGUAAUGCUGAAUUUCUCCAAAUCUUAGAUGACCUGAGGGUGAGCACAUUUUCAGCAAAAUUACAUUUAUGGUUGAACUAUUUCUUUAAAGCAUAAAAUGUUUUGCUUUUAAAGAAGAUAUCGCGUGAACUGCUAAUGCAGUCGCUUUGUCCUGUUUGUGGCGAUACCCUCUAGCUUCCCGUGGUAGGUUGUCUUUGUGCAAUAAAAAAAAUAAUACAAGUUCCUCAGGGGCUCCGAUCGUUUCCCUCUCGGUCUGGUCCGUCAGUACUUCAGUACUAAGUGUUGAAGAGGGGUUUUUGUAAUGGUUUAUGAAUAUACGCUCCACAUAUGCUUCGCCAACAGAUGUAAUCCUGACGUAAGUGGCAGAUUCACUGCAUUAAGUUUCUCAGGUUUUGCAGCCAGUUUGGGCAUCUGUUGGAUUUGUGUGAAGCCACAACCUUUCAACUCCGCAUACUACCCACAAUCCCUCGCUACCCAGAGAAAACUGGCAACGUCAAAUCUAGUGUAGUACCUCAUUUGUGACUGGACUUCUGUUAGUUAUGAUUUGAAAUCAUCAUCCUCAUCCAUAUCCCUGUACGAUUCAGUGUUUUUUUUUGGUCAUUGUUUAGUCGGCUUUAAGUUUUGACUAUAGUUUACACAAGGUUCAGAAGAUACGAAAGGAGACAAACACUGCCUUUGCUUAUUUCACUUUUUAUAUAUAUAUAUAUAAAGCAAUUUAUGUAUUACUGCUCCUGUUAUUGAUUUAUUGUUCCUGUUAUAUUUUGUAAAUAAUAAUAAUAAAAAAUUAGAAAACAAACUGUUGUAUAGUUGAAAUACACACCUUAUGACAACUAUCCCCAGGUUUACCUAUCAGUAUUCAACAUGAUAAAUCAAUUGACGCUAACAUUAAAAGGUUUGAAUUUUUUUUUUCUUUUUUUUUAGUCUAGUUUUUAGUCUAGUUAAGACAUUUAUAAUAUAACAAAAUGUUUUUUUUUUUAAAUGCUGUUACUUUCAUUGCAUUAAAGAAUCCUAAAACAAAUGUAUCACAGUUUCCACUAAAGUAAGCAUCACAAUUGUUAUUGAUGAUAAGAUAUUUCCUGAGCCAUAUUUUCUGGAGGAACACGUGACACUGAAGACUGGAGUAAUGAUGCUGAAAAUUUUUGGUUUGGAAAAGGUUUGUCACAGGAGUAAGCUACAUUUUAAAAUCUAUUCAAAUAGAAAAAAGUUAUUUUAACUUGCAAUAAUAUUUCACAAUAUUAGUUUUAUCAAAUACAUAAAGC
ensembl:lncRNA